rnacentral:rRNA from 1 species
AACGAACGCUGGCGGCAUGCCUAACACAUGCAAGUCGAACGCCCUCUUCGGAGGGAGUGGCGCACGGGUGCGUAACGCGUGGGAACCUGCCCUUAGGUUCGGAAUAACUCAGAGAAAUUUGAGCUAAUACCGGAUAAUGUCUUCGGACCAAAGAUUUAUCGCCUUUGGAUGGGCCCCGCGUAGGAUUAGGUAGUUGGUGGGGUAAAGGCCUACCAAGCCGACGAUCCUUAGCUGGUCUGAGAGGAUGAUCAGCCACACUGGGACUGAGACACGGCCCAGACUCCUACGGGAGGCAGCAGUGGGAAUAUUGGACAAUGGGCGAAAGCCUGAUCCAGCAAUGCCGCGUGAGUGAUGAAGGCCUUAGGGUUGUAAAGCUCUUUUACCAGGGAUGAUAAUGACAGUACCUGGAGAAUUAAGC